GACAGAGGGUGCAAACGUUGUUCGGAAUUACUGGGCGUAAAGCGUGCGCAGGCGGUUUUGUAAGCCGGAUGUGAAAUCCCCGGGCUUAACCUGGGAAUGGCAUUCGGGACUGCAAGGCUGGAGUGCGGCAGAGGAGACUGGAAUUCCUGGUGUAGCAGUGAAAUGCGUAGAUAUCAGGAGGAACACCUAUAGCGAAGGCAGCUUACUAGGCUGUAACUGACGCUGAGGCACGAAAGUGUGGGGAUCAAACAGG
rnacentral:rRNA from 1 species